AGCAAAUUAUUAGGAAACUUGCAGGAGAAAGCCAACAUAUUCCAGAGAGACUGUUUACUUUCUCAAUCUAAACACAGAGAAAGCAAAUGGGAAGAGAACAAGGGCUCCAACAGACAAAAUAAAAGAAAUUAAGGAACACGAUGAAGAGUUUAUCCCAAAUAAGAAGAAGAAAAACACUGAGGAUACAAGAGAGAAGAAACAGGAGCUAAGUCCCAAGGAAAAGAAGAUACCAAGUCACAAAACUCCUCCUUUGAGAAAACACUCUACUACCAACAUCCUUUCAUUGGUAGUAGUAGUAGAUAUUAGCAUUUCAUCCCAUGGAGGAUUGUGUUGAGAUAAUCAAGAAGCAGGCUUCCUGUGUCCAGAUCCUCCUUCUUCAGAAAAACCAAGGGAGAAUGACCAGGAUAUUUCACCCCCUGGAAUAUCUGAAGGGGUUAUGCCCUUGAGUGGUGUGGAGAAAAUGAAAAGAAAAAGUGAACCAAGAACUGAACAAUGCCAUCACAGAGCAAGUCUCAUUGCAGGACAAAAAUGUAAAAAGGAACAGAGGAAAGAAAAAUAUGAGAAUGCUAAGAAGAGCUCAGUGCACGAUACAAGAUAAGCUAAUGUAAAACACACUUAUUGCGAAGUACAAUGAAUGAACAAUUUUAAUUAGACGUAGUUCAUUAUAUCCGUUAAGUUCACAGCAAUAUUCUAAAACUUAAGGAAAUGAAAAUCAC